rnacentral:rRNA from 1 species
GAUGAACGCUGGCGGCGUGCCUAAUACAUGCAAGUCCAGCGAACAGACGAGGAGCUUGCUCCUCUGACGAUAGCGGCGGACGGGUGAGUAACACGUGGAUAACCUACCUAUAAGACUGGGAUAACUUCGGGAAACCGGAGCUAAUACCGGAUAAUAUAUUGAACCGCAUGGUUCAAUAGUGAAAGACGGUUUUGCUGUCACUUAUAGAUGGAUCCGCGCCGCAUUAGCUAGUUGGUAAGGUAACGGCUUACCAAGGCAACGAUGCGUAGCCGACCUGAGAGGGUGAUCGGCCACACUGGAACUGAGACACGGUCCAGACUCCUACGGGAGGCAGCAGUAGGGAAUCUUACGCAAUGGGCGAAAGCCUGACGGGGCAACGCCGCGUGAGUGAUGAAGGUCUUCGGAUCGUAAAACUCUGUUAUUAGGGAAGAACAAAUGUGUAAGUAACUAUGCACGUCUUGACGGUACCUAAUCAGAAAGCCACGGCUAACUACGUG